ensembl:lncRNA
UGCAUGUUCCCACUCACUCCUCCUAUCCAGUGGCCUGCAUGUUCCCACUCACUCCUCCUAUCCAGUGGCCUGCAUGUUCCCACUCACUCCUCCUAUCCAGUGGCCUGCAUGUUCCCACUCACUCCUCCUAUCAGAUGGCCUGCAUGUUCCCACUCACUCCUCCUAUCCAAUGGCCUGCAUGUUCCCACUCACUCCUCCUAUCCAAUGGCCUGCACGUUCCCACUCACUCCUCCUAUCAGAUGGCCUGCACGUUCCCACUCACUCCUCCUAUCAGAUGGCCUGCAUGUUCCCAUCACUCCUCCUAUCAGAUGGCCUGCACGUUCCCACUCACUCCUCCUAUCAGAUGGCCUGCACGUUCCCACUCACUCCUCCUAUCCA